CCUACGGGUGGCAGCAGUGAGGAAUAUUGGUCAAUGGACGAGAGUCUGAACCAGCCAAGUAGCGUGAAGGAUGACUGCCCUAUGGGUUGUAAACUUCUGUUAUAUGGGAAGAAAAUAUGCCACGUGGGGGAGUUUGUAUGUACCAUAUGAAUAAGGAGCGGCUAACUCCGUGCCAGCAGCCGCGGUAAUACGGAGGAUCCGAGCGUUAUCCGGAUUUAUUGGGUUUAAAGGGAGCGUAGGGGGAUUGGUAAGUCAGUUGGGAAAGUUUGCGGCUCAACCGUAAAAUUGCAGUUGAAACUGGCAGUCUUUCGUACAGUAGAGGUGGGCGGCAUUCGUGGUGUCGCGG
rnacentral:rRNA from 1 species